GUGUUGGGCCGUCUAACUCUCUUGGGCCUGAACGCGGACUCAGCUUCAUUAUCAGUAGCUCCUUCGGUGCGAGCAACAGAGGGUAGGGUAGGCUCUGCUCGCAGACACCUCCCCGCCGAUCAGUCGCUCGCCGUCCGCCCGGCCGGCUUGACGUACGCUGCGACCUGCUCCAGUGCUCCGGCGUGCUAGCUUUUUCCUUUUCCGGGCUUUUGGCAUUUCACCGCUUUAUCGGGAUUGACACGACCUCUUUUCACUAAUCCCACAGCACAUUGUACAGUACUACAUCAUCCCACCCGUACCAGGAACUAAA
rnacentral:lncRNA from 7 species